CCUACGGGUGACAGCAGUGAGGAAUAUUGGUCAAUGGACGAGAGUCUGAACCAGCCAAGUAGCGUGAAGGAUGACUGCCCUAUGGGUUGUAAACUUCUUUUAUAUGGGAAUAAAAUGUUCCACGUGUGGGUUUUUGUAUGUACCAUAUGAAUAAGGAUCGGCUAACUCCGUGCCAGCAGCCGCGGUAAUACGGAGGAUCCGAGCGUUAUCCGGAUUUAUUGGGUUUAAAGGGAGCGUAGGUGGAUGGUUAAGUCAGUUGUGAAAGUUUGCGGCUCAACCGUAAAAUUGCAGUUGAAACUGGCAGUCUUGAGGACAGUAGAGGUGGGCGGAAUUCGUGGUGUAGCGGUGAAAUGCUUAGAUAUCACGAAGAACUCCGAUUGCGAAGGCAGCUCACUGGACUGCAACUGACACUGAGGCUCGAAAGUGUGGGUAUCAAACAGGAUUAGAUACCCGGGUAGUC
rnacentral:rRNA from 1 species